GACGAACGCUGGCGGCGUGCCUAACACAUGCAAGUCAACUUGACUGAAGGAGCAAUCUGACAGUAGAGUGGCGCAAGGGUGCGUAACGCGUAAGUAACUUGCCCAAGGUAAGGAAUAACGUCGAGAAAUCGGCGCUAAUACCUCAUAAUGCAGCGGAUCCGCAUGGAUAUGUUGUUAAAGGUUUACCGCCUUGGGAUAGGCUUGCGUCUGAUUAGCUAGUUGGUGUGGUAACGGCACACCAAGGCUACGAUCAGUAACUGGUCUGAGAGGAUGAUCAGUCACACUGGAACUGAGACACGGUCCAGACUCCUACGAGAGGCAGCAGUGAGGAAUAUUGGGCAAUGCUCGAAAGAGUGACCCAGCAACGCCGCGUGGAGGAUGAAGGUAUUCUAUAUCGUAAACUCCUGUGAGAGCAGACGAAAGACAGAUUAUUAAUCUGGAUGACUGUAUGCUCAGAGGAAGCCCCGGCUAA
rnacentral:rRNA from 1 species